UAAACGACAUUAGUCGUGUCACAAUUGAAGUUUCCUUUGAAUUAAACUUCAAUUGUGACACGGCUAAUGUCGUUUA
rnacentral:pre_miRNA from 1 species